rnacentral:rRNA from 1 species
AAGCUCGUAGUUGAAUUUCGGGGUCAGUAGGUUGGUCGUGCCACCGGUACGUACUGGUCUCACUGAUUCCUCCUUCCUGAUGAGCUGUAAUGCCAUUAAUUUGGUGUUGCAGGGAAUCUGGACUGUUACUUUGAAAAAAUUAGAGUGUUUAAAGCAGGCUAACGCUUGAAUACAUUAGCAUGGAAUAAUGAAAAUAGGACGUUCGAUCCUAUUUUGUUGGUUUCUAGGAUUGACGUAAUGAUUAAUAGGGAUAGUUGGG